rnacentral:lncRNA from 1 species
CCACUGUCAGGUGUGGUGGCGACAACAGCCUCGUCUCCCGUGAGAAGCAAGUGCAGAGUAAAUGCUUGGAGGGUGUCUAGGAAACAGCUGGACGUGGCCUGGUGUACUGCAGAGAAAUGACUUCCGUAAUGUGCAUUGGUCACUGACGCUGAUGCCAGUGGAUUGUUCUGUGAGGAAAUCAAGGACAUGCUGUUCUGCAUCAGGGUGGAGGCACGGUGACAACAGUCACAGCACCUGUGGACUCAGGACCUGGGCGAUGAAGAAUCAGCUGACAGAGCCAAGGCACAUAAAUAUUACACAUUUCAGGCUAAAAGGAAAAAUAUGGUUUAAAACCAAAAUGUGAAAAUAUCUGUAUCCCAGUGCCUAUGGAACUUUUCUGCUAUGCACAAUUCUAGACAUACUUUCAAGUGUCUGUUUACUGCAUGACGUGGCUUUAUGAUGUGAAAAGAACAUUUGACUGAGAGUUAGGUUUUUUUGUCACUCUGUUAUGAGAUAUUGGGCAAAGCCCCCAUGUCUCUGGGUUGUUUAUUCAAAUCAUAAUUCCUAGUGUUGUUGUGAUAAUUAAAUUUGGGAAAUGCGGGUAAAAAUGUUUUUAAAAUAUGGUGC